UGGGUGGCUGUGAACCUCUGGGCCGCCAACCCUCUAGCAAAGGAACUCUAUCAAGGGAAAAAGCUUUCCCCAGGUAUUAUUGAACCUGGUCUCAAGAUUUCUCGUCCAAGUGAGAUAAUUGUUUUAGAGUUGCUGGUGUCCGUAAAACCUGACGCGUAUUUCGCCUUGGCCAGGCCCUUUCGAUGAUCCAUAUACCAUUUUUUCCACUGCUUUUAUUGGGCCUAUGACCUUUCCCCCUCCGUGUUGAACCUAUGUGGGCUGAAAAUGAUUCAAUGUUGAAAAAAAAUAAUAAAAGGGGCCUUCAUGGAGGAAGAUGGAUGACGAUGUAAUCAUCUCUACUGUUUUGUGUUGCGUGAUAAAAUGGCUACGUUAAUUCGUUGUGAUGUUUUUUCCAGCCAUUCAAUAGUCAAUACGUAUGCUUAAUUUUCUCUUUAA